rnacentral:rRNA from 1 species
UACGUAGGUGGCGAGCGUUGUCCGGAUUUACUGGGCGUAAAGGGAGCGUAGGCGGACUUUUAAGUGAGAUGUGAAAUACUCGGGCUCAACUUGAGUGCUGCAUUUCAAACUGGAAGUCUAGAGUGCAGGAGAGGAGAAUGGAAUUCCUAGUGUAGCGGUGAAAUGCGUAGAGAUUAGGAAGAACACCAGUGGCGGAGGCGAUUCUCUGGACUGUAACUGACGCUGAGGCUCGAAAGCGUGGGGAGCAAACAGG